rnacentral:rRNA from 1 species
UACGUAGGUGGCAAGCGUUGUCCGGAUUUACUGGGCGUAAAGAGCGCGCAGGCGGUUAUUUAAGUCGAAUGUGAAAGCCCCCGGCUUAACUGGGGAGGGUCAUUCGAUACUGUUUAACUUGAAGGCAGGAGAGGGUAGUGGAAUUCCCGGUGUAGUGGUGAAAUGCGUAGAUAUCGGGAGGAACACCAGUGGCGAAGGCGACUACCUGGCCUGUUCUUGACGCUGAGGCGCGAAAGCUAGGGGAGCAAACGGG